UUUCAGAGGCCUCCCCUCUUGGCCGGUUCCCAGGCGGACUUCCCGGUACCUGCAGAAGAAGCGCCGGCUAACUACGUGCCAGCAGCCGCGGCAAUACGUAGGGCGCAAGCGUUGUCCGGAAUUAUUGGGCGUAAAGAGCUCGUAGGCGGCUUGUCACGUCGGUUGUGAAAGCCCGGGGCUUAACCCCGGGUCUGCAGUCGAUACGGGCAGGCUAGAGUUCGGUAGGGGAGAUCGGAAUUCCUGGUGUAGCGGUGAAAUGCGCAGAUAUCAGGAGGAACACCGGUGGCGAAGGCGGAUCUCUGGGCCGAUACUGACGCUGAGGAGCGAAAGCGUGGGGAGCGAACAGGAUUAAAUACCCUGGUAGUCCGCGCCGUAAACGGAGGGCACUAGGUGUGGGCCACAUUCCACGUCGUCCGUGCCGCAGCUAACGCAUUAAGUGCCCCGCCUGGGGAGUACGGCCGCAAGGCUAAAACUCAAAGGAAUUGACGGGGGCCCGCACAGCGGCGGAGCAUGUGGCUUAAUUCGACGCAACGCGAAGAACCUU
rnacentral:rRNA from 1 species